UCUCCGUAGGUGAACCAGCGGAGGGAUCAUUACAGGACUCGCAAGACGCUUACAUCCCUGUGAACUUAACUAUAAGCACGUUGCUUGGGCGGGUGUGUCUGAGGGGAUCUUCCCUCCCCGAGACGCUAAACCCGCCGGCAGCCUACUAUACUUUCUCCCCUUGCGUUGGCAUCUCGAGUACAAUCAAACAAUUUAAAACUUUCAACAACGGAUCUCUUGGUUCUG
rnacentral:misc_RNA from 1 species